CGUGCUUGGGGGCACAUUCACAAGCAAACAAAUACCCCUGGUCCUGUGAUGACGAUGGCAGAACAGAACGACAGAAGGGACCUGGGUUUCUGAUGACAUCUUGAAGCUGCCAAUCCAGACUUCUGGUCUUGUUUUAUGUGAGUACCUCCAGGGCAGGGAGCCUGCAGUGGUUCAUGUGUCUAAGCAUGUCUGGCACCAUUAGGUAUUCACCAAUAUUGCUGAAGAACUGAAGAGUGAAUGAACUCCCAGGAGAUGGCAGCUGAGGUUCCCUUUGGGCCGCCUUCCAGGCAAAGGUUUUCAGAGUUCCUAAAGGACAACUAGUUCCAGGUGAACACCUUCGGGUGAGCCUCCAAAGCCAUCAGGCUAUGCUCGGAUGUGGACAUCUCUCAUCUUAAAGCUUAAUCCUGAACUUAUUACUUGUGAAAUGCCUUCUGCAGCCUGGGACUUUAGACAGAGAUAAGACAUGCUGGGAAUACAUAUUUCCCGAUGCACUUCUUAAAUAAAGCAGCCCCCACCCCAGGGGCCCAACAGGGGGAGCAAAUAGACUGCAGCUGAGUCAAGCGUCUAAAGGCAGGCAACUUCAAGGUGCUUCUCACCGAGGGCUGGUGCCAGACUGCUCUUGGAGGGUACUCCUGGGAAGGCUGAUAAAAAUACAGCUCUGCCGACAUUAUGCAGACCGGUGGAACCCCAAAGUCUGAGAAGGUGCCCCCAGGAGAUUACAUCUUAAACAAGGUUCCAGAUGAUUCUUCUCGGCAGCUAGGUUUAAGGCUCUCUGCAAUCUGUCCCUUCCAACUUUUAUUUUAUACACGCUACUUUUCUCACUUGACAUUCCUUCACCUGGCUAGCUCCUACCCAAGGUUGGCUCAAGAGCCACGUAUCUGAGGCGGAGCGGUUUCUAAUCUCCACUCGCUCCCUCACCACCCAGGACAGAUGGGAAGCCCCUGCUCCCUGCUCCCACGGUGCUUCACGCUUGCCUCACCUUUUACCCUGUCAUAUAAAUAAAGGUUUCUAGGUCUCCCCCCUGGCUGAGCUGGGAGCUUGUCCACUCUCCCUCCACAGCACCAAGUCUGGCACAAAGCAAGGGCUAGUGGUUUGUUAACAAAAGAAUGAACGGAGCCUCACUGACCUACCUUUAGGGCUCUUAUCCAUAGAAACAGACCCUCUACAUGUGAGCCAAACUGAAAUAGAAGGGUCCGGUACCUCAUUCGAGAGGUGGUGUAUUUUACCAGGGCUAGCAUAAUCAGGAUUCUAACUGCGGGUCCAGGUUAAUAGGCCAUUGUGAUAAACAGUGGCUGCCCUACCUCUUUGGUAGCUCUUUUUAUGACCCAGCCUGUCCACACAUGUAGUCCCUAUCCACAACUGGGCUUCACCCACAAAAGCUAACUAAUUGGCAGCCUACAUGUAAACAUGAAAACUGCAAGGGGCAGAGAUGACUGGUUUUGAAAGGAGACUAUGCAGCAGCUAUAUUAUCAUUGAUGAAACUGUCACAUGCCAGGCUAGGUAGGAUGCCCAUGGUCAUCAUUCUUCACACCAUUCUCUGAGAAAGGUUUUAUCAGGCUUGUUGAUUGAAGAGGAACUCAAAAUCCAAAGAGGAUAACUUGCUCCGGGCUACCUGCUAGUUUGGGGGUGGAGCUGGGAUUUGAAGCCAGGUCUUUUUGCCUCCAAAGACAAUCCUCCCUCCCCUGCUCUGUGUUGCCUCUGGACGUCAACCAGAAGACCACUGGAGCCACCUUGGUGGGGGCUGGGAAGGAGCUUUGGAAGAAGACUUGGGCUCAAACUCUGCUUUUGGCAUUUACCGACUGAAGGUAUUUGAUAAGUAAACUCUAAGACUCAUCUCUAAAAAGAAGAUUAAAACGCCUAAUUCAUAAAGUAUGUACACGUGUAAAGCCCUGAGUCUAUCAGUAGAUGCCCAAUAAAUGUGAGCUGGCCAUGAGCCUAUAUUCCCUCUUCCUCCCCACAAAAGAGCAGUUUCUGGAUGGCAAAUAAAUCGUUUCACGGUCUUCCUCGCCGGCAAACAAGUAUGUUGUGCUCUAGUUGGGAAAGGCCUGUGGGUAAAUCCUUAGUAUGACUGGAACCAGUUAGCAAACCAGAUGUGCAACACACAAAAUCAUCCCCUCGAGCCUGAUGAGAAGAACCCAAACACAUCGCUUAUUUCAGCAUCCCCACAUUUUGUCAUCUGAGGUCAGGAAUGAGACAAGCAGCUGGAGGGAGAGAAAAGGAAUUGAUCCAGAAACUGUUCAAUUAUGAGGUUUUCAAAUAGCAACAAAAACAACAGCAAGACAUUUCCAUCCUUGUUUAACAUAAAGUGCCUGUUAGUACAUGACUUAAUGCUGUUCUUAAAAUUAAAUACCG